GCUCUCUUUUUUUGCAUUGGCUGCUCGGCGCAUGGGUUCUUUUUCAUCGGACUGCUUUCCUUCAUUCUGCUGUUCCUGGAAGCAAGGGUCUUGUGCUGUUUUCGGUUCAACUGUGGGAUCCUGCUGGACUUCAGGACUGGCUUAUCAAUCUCUCCUUACUUGUGAGCCUCCAAAUUACUGAAGAACACAAGAUUUGUCCUCACAUGGCUUAAAGAUUCAUCUGUCUGUCAAGACUUUAAGGAGCCAUCGAAGGAGGAAUGUUGUUUUCACAACUAUGGAUCUGAGGCCUGACCCAGCAGGUGGGGACUGAGGGACAUCGGGCUAUCGGACCUUGAAUGUAAAACAAAGCCUCUUUGCACUAAUCCGGGAAUGAAAACUGAUUCCUGUGGUUAAACUGGGGGGAAGGUUAGCCAGAGAGCCAAGAAACCAUACCUUAAAUGGAAAUAAAUAAAUAAGGGAAGGGUUGUUAGAACUGGAGUAGUGAGAGAGGUAAACUGAGGCAGGACAUACAGGAAGCAUCAGGUAGUCUGUGAACCUUGUACCCAACCAAUGGGGAACAGGGGAGGGAAUUUGCGGCUGGGAUUAGGGUAAUAUAAACAGUGGCUUUUGCCCUGUUCCGUGUGCCUACCAUUUGGUAGAACACCUGGUCUUGCAAAAUCAUUAAUAAAAUAUGCUUUGCUGAGAGAUCCUGCCUGAGCCUAUUAUAUUGGCAAGAUAAUUGUUUCUUACACAGACAAACUAAUUUGGUGAGACAGUCAAACCCUCCAUCCUCCCUCUCCCCAAGACAUCUUUCUUCCUGAUUUGCCUAUCAGAUUCUCUUCCUUCUUCCCAAUUUUCUUUUGCAUUUUAUUUUCUCACCUUACCUUCACAUCCAUUUCUCCUCUCUUGCUCUGCAUAGAGCUCUAAAAGGGCUACAGUUCAUUAUGCUAAAUAGAAAUGGUUUAAAAAUUAAACAUUUAUUUAAACAUUGAAAAUCAUGUAUCCACUAAACCAAAAAAUUUCAUGAGAUGCAUAUGCUUCCUACAGAUGAGUUUUCAAUCAAAAUGGUAAAUAUCUUCCAACUGAAAUAUUUUAUAUGGUCUCAGUGCAUCUUGGAAAUUGUAGUUGAGGAACUUUGUGUCUCUGUGUCCUCAUCAGAUUAAGUAUCCCAUAUUUAACACAGUGGCAGACCCUCUUGCACAUGAUACAUCACCUAAAGCAAAUAACCAAACAACCAAACAACCACACAUUUCAUUGCAAAGAUGUAAUAAAAGGAACUACAGAAGGAAAACAGGAGUGGAAGCUCCAUGGGAGCUAAUGUGCAAAAUGUCUUGGGCGAAAUAAGUUUACACUGGGGCAACUUUGCUGCAUUGAGCUGCCAGGUAAGACAAGCAUAAAGGACAUAGGAACAGCCCAGGGGUCACCAGGAACAGUAAUGUGUGGGGGACUACGGUGGGUCCGUGGAUUCCCUGACGGAGGGCAUGGGAACAGAAAUUAGCCUUGAAGAUAUUAAGGCCUACCUGUGAGAAAGAUGGGAGUAAAGGAGUAUCCGGAGAUGUUAAGGAUGUACCCGUGAGAGAGAAGGGAGUAGAAGAGUAACAUUGAUGAUAGCAAAAGUAGCCAAUGAGAUGUUACUGCUGUAACUUGUAACCAAUAGUGAAGAGGCACAUGAACUGGUAAAACUGUAUAAAAAUGCACUUGUGGCAAUAAAUGGCAUCUACUGCUUUCAUCCUGGAAGAA